rnacentral:rRNA from 1 species
UACGUAGGUGGCAAGCGUUGUUCGGAAUUAUUGGGCGUAAAGGGCGCGUAGGCGGCCUGCUAAGUCGAACGUGAAAUCCUCGGGCUCAACCCGGGAACUGCGUCCGAUACUGGCUGGCUUGAAUCCGGGAGAGGGAUGCGGAAUUCCAGGUGUAGCGGUGAAAUGCGUAGAUAUCUGGAGGAACACCGGUGGCGAAGGCGGCAUCCUGGACCGGUAUUGACGCUGAUGCGCGAAAGCCAGGGGAGCAAACGGG